rnacentral:rRNA from 1 species
GACGAACGCUGGCGGCGUGCUUAACACAUGCAAGUCGAACGGACCGUCCCUGGUUUUUUGGGGUGCUCUGAUUGCGACCUGGUGAGUUACACGUGAGUAACCUGUACUUCACUUUGGGAUAACUUCAGGCCACUUGUGCUCAUACCGGAUAAGAUUUCUUGCUUCAUGGUGGGGCUUGGUAAGUUUCGGCGGUUGGGGAUGGUCUUGCGGCAUAUCAGCUUGUUGGUGGGGUAGUGGCUUACCAAGGCUUUGACGGGUAGCCGGCCUGAGAGGGUGACCGGCAACAUUGGGACUGGGAUACGGCCCAGACUCCUACGGGAGGCAGCAGUGGGGAAUAUUGCACAAUGGGCGGAAGCCUGAUGCAGCAACGCCGCGUGCGGGAUGACGGCCUUCGGGUUGUAAACCGCUUUCGCCUGUGACGAAGCGUGAGUGACGGUAAUGGGUAAAGAAGCACCGGCUAACUACGUG